rnacentral:rRNA from 1 species
CACUAUUGGGUAGCAAUAUUCGGUAGUGGGAGUGGCGCAAGGGUGCGUAACACGUGGGUAAUUUGCCAUGAAGUCUGGAAUAACUUGCUGAAAGGCGAGCUAAUACCGGAUGUGAUUACUGGAAGGCAUCUUCUGGUACUUAAAGUCGGGGACCGUAAGGCCUGACACUUCUUGAUAAGCCCGCGGCCUAUCAGCUAGUUGGUGAGGUAACGGCUCACCAAGGCUAAGACGGGUAGCUGGUCUGAGAGGACGACCAGCCACACUGGAACUGAGACACGGUCCAGACACCUACGGGUGGCAGCAGUCGAGAAUUUUUCUCAAUGGGGGAAACCCUGAAGGAGCGACGCCGCGUGGGGGAUGAAUGGCUUCGGCCCGUAAACCCCUGUCAUUUGCGAUCAAACCUUACGGCUUAACACGUCGUAAGCUGAUAGUAGCGGAAGAGGAAGGGACGGCUAACUCUGUGCCAGCAGCCGCGGUAAUACAGAGGUCCCAAGCGUUGUUCGGAUUCACUGGGCGUAAAGGGUGCGUAGGCGGUCGGGUAAGUCUGACGUGAAAUCUUCAAGCUCAACUUGGAAACUGCGUCGGAUACUAUUCGGCUAGAGGAAUGGAGGGGAGACUGGAAUACUUGGUGUAGCAGUGAAAUGCGUAGAUAUCAAGUGGAACACCAGUGGCGAAGGCGAGUCUCUGGACAUUUCCUGACGCUGAGGCACGAAAGCCAGGGGAGCAAACGGGAUUAGAUACCCCGGUAGUCCUGGCCCUAAACGGUGCACGUUUGCUG